GGACCCGUAGCAUAAUCGGAUAGUGCACCUGACUACGGAUCAGGAGGUUGGGGGUUCGAAUCCCUCCGGGUUCA
rnacentral:tRNA from 1 species